rnacentral:rRNA from 1 species
AAUCAACGCUGGCGGCGUGCCUCAGACAUGCAAGUCGAACGAUUAAAGCUCUCUUCGGAGAGUGUAUAGAGUGGCGCACGGGUGAGUAACACGUAAGUAAUCUACCCUCGAGUGGGGAAUAACAACCGGAAACGGUUGCUAAUACCGCAUAAUGCAGCGGCACCGCAAGGUGACAGUUGUUAAAGAUUUAUCGCUUGAGGAGGAGCUUGCGGCAGAUUAGCUAGUUGGUAGGGUAACGGCUUACCAAGGCUACGAUCUGUAACCGGUCUAAGAGGACGGUCGGUCACACUGACACUGAAUAACGGGUCAGACUCCUACGGGAGGCAGCAGUCGGGAAUUUUGGGCAAUGGGCGAAAGCCUGACCCAGCAACGCCGCGUGAAGGAUGAAGUAUUUCGGUAUGUAAACUUCGAAAGAAUAGGAAGAAUUAAUGACGGUACUAUUUAUAAGGUCCGGCUAACUACGUGCCAGCAG